GUACCGUACAAACGUUAUUCGGAAUCACUGGGCUUAAAGGGUGCGUAGGCGGUGCGGUCAGUUGGGUGUGAAAUCCCUCGGCUCAACCGAGGAACUGCGCCCAAUACUGCCGCACUCGAGGGAGACAGAGGUAAGCGGAACUGAUGGUGGAGCGGUGAAAUGCGUUGAUAUCAUCAGGAACACCGGUAGCGAAGGCGGCUUACUGGGUCUCUUCUGACGCUGAGGCACGAAAGCUAGGGGUAGCGAACGGGAUUAGAUACCCCGGUAGUCCUAGCUGUAAACGAUGAGCACUUGGUCGGAGACUCCUCCAUAGGUUUCCGGUCGUAGCGAAAGUGUUAAGUGCUCCGCCUGGGGAGUAUGGUCGCAAGGCUG
rnacentral:rRNA from 1 species